UGCCGGCUCACUCUGUAGAAUGCUCUAGCACUGCGUUCACUGGCCCUUGUCCGUUUUGUAACGGGACAUUAGUCGUCAAGUUUGUCCAAUAAGAUGUAAUAUACACGUGGGACAACUAUUUUGUGGUUCGAUAUCUUGCAAUUCUCCUGACAUUUCUUAACAGUUUCAUCAUAGAAUUUUAUGAUAUUCUCAUUCAGUAGUCUUAGAUAUGAAAUAGCUGGGAAAAAUAAAUUCCAAAAACUAUCCUGGCAUUCUUUGUUAAGGAACAUAACACUUGUCGCUUUGUGUUCCACAGCAAUUGGACAGAAUGUGCCAUAUUUACUUCAGCAUAGUUUGAAGUAUAUAGGAUUGUGAAAACUAUUCUACUGGAGGAACGUUAACUUGUAUAUGGUUGGACAGCAGAAAUACAGUAAACGUUCCGGAACAUGAAAUUGAAAUCUGAGAAAAAUUCGCAAAUCUAAGGUACAUCACGAGGCAAAAGGCAAUGCUACGUUUUGGCUUAAUUGAAUGACUAAAACUACUGUUCUGUGAGCUGUAAAUAAAUCAAUUUGUUAAAAAAUACUACUUGGACGAUUUUGAAGAGACGUUGACUGCAGAGAAAAAAACUAAUCGCGCACUAAUUUCAGAACGAAUUAAAUUACUUCUUCGUUGCAAACUGAGAGCUCUGCGUGAAAACAAGAUUCCUUAUUUUGAUGGAUAUAUGUGCUUAAAGAAAAGUCAACAUUACAGAGCAAUGAAUUGUGUAGCAUCAGUAACAGCGUCUUAAAUUAAUUGUUGAAUGGUAA
rnacentral:lncRNA from 1 species